rnacentral:tRNA from 1 species
UCCUCAGCUCAGUUGGUAGAGCGCUCCACUGGAAAUGGAGUAGUCCCCGGUUCGAUACUAGGACCAGGCA